CCCAAAUGCGCGGCUGGCCUGAGCUAAAGGAGAGGCUCGUCGCCGUGCAAGCCGAGACCAGCGCUGGGGUUCUGGGUCACCUCUUUUUCUCCCGGCUUCUCCCCCGCUCUCCGGUUCCUGAAUUAGCUGUUUGUUUACGGCUACAGACGAGUGUGUGCCUGCUAGCCCUGCCUGCGCGCGAGGGAGGGAAUUGAUCUUUCCCCAGACUCAAAGCUGGAACCGAAGAAGUGCGGGAGAUUUGGGGUUCUGAGUGGGACUCAGACCCUAGGUGCUGAGGGGAAGCCCGUGGGCUCUCUGGCCCGCUUCUCUAUCCCCAGCGACCUUGCAGGAAUCCUCAGGCCUCAGAGAACCCGGGGCUCUGGGCUUUGCAGCAAGUGGCGGCGGCUGCGUCCCGGGUUUUAAAACCAACGCAAAGAAAGGAGGCAAAGCUGAAAGCUCCUCGCCUGUCAGAAGCAACCUGCGGUGAAAUCCGAUAAUGCGCCCGGACUCGCCCUUCGCGCAUGUAGCCACAGCAAAUUAUUGCUCAUUUGAUACCCAGAAUUCUAUUGACCAUGGCUUUCGUCGGAGAGAGAAUUUUAACUGCUCUGGGCUCAGAGCUAAGGCUCGAAACAAGUAAACCCAGCCCUGACCAGCAAGAAUUGAUGGAGACUGGAGCCACGUGGGCUUGCAUAGAAACCUGCUUUUUACUCUGCCUGCCUUGCUCCAAUUCAGGCAAAAGGUCGGCCCCUUUGGAACAUAUUUGCUUACUUGGAAGGCUGGAUAUUCAUUUGGCAAGUCCUUUCCAGCUCUAGCCAGGCUGAGGGAGAAGAUGAGACAAUGAAAAGACUGCUCCUCAGGCUUUUGAUCAAAGCUAAACCAAGGCAGGAAAUACUUGAAGAAAUAUUAAACCAGACCUUUUUGAUUCUGCGACAUGAAUAUCAUGUCCUAAAUUUCAACAUGCCCACCCCCACUCCUUCAAGACUCUAGGGCAUUACAGAGCUGCUAGAGCAGCGGAGAAGGCACUCUGAGAGCUGAGUCUGGUUGGCAGUGGGCAUUCAGCCUCCAUGACAGGAGCCACAGCUAUAGUGUCCAACCACGUGAAGGAGCCUGUGCACAGCCUGUGCAUUAUCUGACUUUUGAUUCUGGAACUCACAGCUCCAGGUUGCUGGAGAGAGUUAGUCCCAAAAUGAGGCUGGAGAAGAGGGCAGUGAGAAAGGCCAGGUGAGUUCCUCAGGAAGCCAGUCGAGGAUUUUGCAUGCCUGUUGCAAGGAGCAGAUGCUGGAGAUCCCAAGUACUUGGCCUGCCAAAGGGUACCUGCCCAUCUCCCUCCUGGCCUGGUAAGGGACCUACACCUCACCUCCUCACUGCCUCCAUCUGGGAGAAAGUCACCUCGACUCAAAAGAGAGCAAGUCUAAGUGAGUCGAGCCACAGAACCUGUCAGAUUUCCAAGGAGCAAGCAAUCCAUAGCCUUCUCCUUCAGCCAUGACACCUAGAGAGUACGUGGAAGAGAUGGCUAGCUGGGGUUUCAUUUCAUUUCUACAAGUACUGGCAGCUAAGCCUUCUAGGCCGGUUUCCAGAGCAGCAACAAGAACAUAAAAAGAAGCAAUUAACGAUUUUCUAAAUGAAUCCCAGCAUGUGCCACCUGACUCCAGACCUAAAGGUGCAUUUAAGGAUGCUAAGGGGUCUGGAUAGGUAGUAUUUGGUUUUUUGUUUGUUUGUUUGUUUGUUUUUCUAAUGAUACCGCUAAAUGUGUGUGAAACCAUAGUCAAGAAGCCAUGUUGUUCCAGAACCAGGCAGUAAAAAUGUAGGAGUGGGCACUGCAAGACAGCAUGCCCAACAUGGAGUACAGGAAACGUGGAGAAACUGCCGUGAAUCCUGACACUUACAUUGAAGAUGUUGGGAGUCUGGAGGAAGACACAUUGUGGGCUCUUUUGUGGUUUUCAUGUAGAUUUAAAAACAAACAAAACCCCCAAACCCAGCUGUUGAUGUAAUCAUAGCAUCUCAGAUGUAGCAUAUUUAUAUUUCCCCAAGUAUA